AUUGAACGCUGGCGGCAUGCCUUACACAUGCAAGUCGAACGGCAGCACGGAGCUUGCUCUGGUGGCGAGUGGCGAACGGGUGAGUAAUAUAUCGGAACGUACCCUGGAGUGGGGGAUAACGUAGCGAAAGUUACGCUAAUACCGCAUACGAUCUAAGGAUGAAAGUGGGGGAUCGCAAGACCUCAUGCUCGUGGAGCGGCCGAUAUCUGAUUAGCUAGUUGGUAGGGUAAAAGCCUACCAAGGCAUCGAUCAGUAGCUGGUCUGAGAGGACGACCAGCCACACUGGAACUGAGACACGGUCCAGACUCCUACGGGAGGCAGCAGUGGGGAAUUUUGGACAAUGGGCGAAAGCCUGAUCCAGCAAUGCCGCGUGAGUGAAGAAGGCCUUCGGGUUGUAAAGCUCUUUUGUCAGGGAAGAAACGGUGAAGGCUAAUAUCCUUUGCUAAUGACGGUACCUGAAGAAUAAGCACCGGCUAACUACGUGCCAGCAGCCGCGGUAAUACGUAGGGUGCAAGCGUUAAUCGGAAUUACUGGGCGUAAAGCGUGCGCAGGCGGUUUUGUAAGUCUGAUGUGAAAUCCCCGGGCUCAACCUGGGAAUUGCAUUGGAGACUGCAAGGCUAGAAUCUGGCAGAGGGGGGUAGAAUUCCACGUGUAGCAGUGAAAUGCGUAGAUAUGUGGAGGAAUACCGAUGGCGAAGGCAGCCCCCUGGGUCAAGAUUGACGCUCAUGCACGAAAGCGUGGGGAGCAAACAGGAUUAGAUACCCUGGUAGUCCACGCCCUAAACGAUGUCUACUAGUUGUCGGGUCUUAAUUGACUUGGUAACGCAGCUAACGCGUGAAGUAGACCGCCUGGGGAGUACGGUCGCAAGAUUAAAACUCAAAGGAAUUGACGGGGACCCGCACAAGCGGUGGAUGAUGUGGAUUAAUUCGAUGCAACGCGAAAAACCUUACCUACCCUUGACAUGGCUGGAAUCCCCGAGAGAUUGGGGAGUGCUCGAAAGAGAACCAGUACACAGGUGCUGCAUGGCUGUCGUCAGCUCGUGUCGUGAGAUGUUGGGUUAAGUCCCGCAACGAGCGCAACCCUUGCCAUUAGUUGCUACGAAAGGGCACUCUAAUGAGACUGCCGGUGACAAACCGGAGGAAGGUGGGGAUGACGUCAAGUCCUCAUGGCCCUUAUGGGUAGGGCUUCACACGUCAUACAAUGGUACAUACAGAGCGCCGCCAACCCGCGAGGGGGGAGCUAAUCGCAGAAAGUGUAUCGUAGUCCGGAUUGUAGUCUGCAACUCGACUGCAUGAAGUUGGAAUCGCUGGUAAUCGCGGAUCAGCAUGUCGCGGUGAAUACGUUCCCGGGUCU
rnacentral:rRNA from 1 species